rnacentral:rRNA from 1 species
AUACGUAGGGUGCAAGCGUUAAUCGGAAUUACUGGGCGUAAAGCGUGCGCAGGCGGUUUUGUAAGGCAGAGGUGAAAUCCCCGGGCUCAACCUGGGGACUGCCUUUGUGACUGAAAGGCUAGAGAACGGCCGCGGGGGGUGGAAUUCCGCGGGUAGCAGUGAAAUGCGUAGAUAUGCGGAGGAACACCGAUGGCGAAGGCAAUCCCCUGGGCCUGUACUGACGCUCAUGCACGAAAGCGUGGGGAGCAAACAGGAUUAGAUACCCUGGUAGUCCACGCCCUAAACGAUGUCAACUGGUUGUUGGGUCUUCAUUGACUCAGUAACGAAGCUAACGCGUGAAGUUGACCGCCUGGGGAGUACGGCCGCGAGGUUGAAACUCAAAUGAAUUGACGGGG